AGAGGGUGCGAACGUUGCUCGGAUUUACUGGGCGUAAAGCGCGUGUAGGCGGACUCGCAAGUCGGUUGUGAAAUCCCUGGGCUCAACCUAGGAACUGCAUCCGAAACUGCUUGUCUUGAGUAAUGGAGAGGGUGGCGGAAUUCCCGGUGUAGAGGUGAAAUUCGUAGAUAUCGGGAGGAACAUCAGUGGCGAAGGCGGCCACCUGGACAUUUACUGACGCUGAGACGCGAAAGCGUGGGGAGCAAACAGGAUUAGAUACCCUGGUAGUCCACGCCGUAAACGAUGAGCAUUAGGUGCAGCGGAUAUUGACCUCUGCUGUGCCGUAGCUAACGCGUUAAAUGCUCCGCCUGGGAGUACGGCCGCAAGGCUA
rnacentral:rRNA from 1 species